rnacentral:lncRNA from 10 species
CUAGGAGCAGCUAACAAGAAUCCUAAUACAGGAGUGUUUAUGGUUGGGUUGAGACACAUUCAGUAGCUGAGUGAUUGACAGCAAGAGGAGCAAGACAUGAGGUUAAUAAUUAUCAAAUAUAUGGCAAUGCUGGACUUUAGCUGAUCAUCGUGCUUCUGGAAAACAACAAAAAUUGAGAUAUCUGUUCACCACUUUGUGUGUCCAAGGACCACCUACUUUUUACAUGUGACAAGAACUACCCACCUCCACUCUUCAGGAUAGAACAUGCUGAAGAAAAGAGUUGCAAUGAGAAAAUAUAUGGGAACAAAAUACCUAUGCAAUGCAGAAGUCUGCAUAACUGAACCACUCAGAGGAAAAAGUUUCCCUCCCAGGCUGGAGUACAAUGGCGCGACCUCGGCUCACUGCAACUUCCACCUCCCAGUUCAAGCAAUUCUCCCACCUCAGCUUCCUUAGUAGCUGGGAUUACAAGUGCCUGACACCAGGCCAAGCUAUUUUUGUAUUUUUAGUAGAGACGGGGUUUCACCAUUUUGACCAGGCUGGUCUCAAACUCCUGACCUCAGUCCAUCGGUCCACCUCGGCCUCCCAAAGUGCUGGGAUUGCAGGCAUGAGCCACCGCUCCUGGCCUCAAGUUUAAUUCUUAAAUUGCCAUUUCAGGACACCUCCUACAUCUGAGGAAAUAUGCAUUGAUCUUGC